rnacentral:rRNA from 1 species
AGCCGCAAUCGUGCUAAGGUAGCAUAAUAAUUUGUCUUUUAAAUGAAGACUAGAACAAAAGAUUUAACAUUUUACAAAAUUUCUUUAAUUUAAAAAUUAAAAUUUUUUUAAGUGUAAAAAAACACUUAUUUCUUAGAAAGACGAUAAGACCCUAUUGAAUUUAACUAAAGUUUAACUGGGGUAGUAAAUUAAUUAUUAUUUUAAUAAAAUUAAAACUUAAAUAAUCCAAUAUAAUUGAUUAAUUAAAUUACCAUAGGGAUAACAGCGUAAUUAUAUUUAAGAGAUCUUAUCUAAAAAAUAGAUUACAACCUCGAUGUUGAAUUAAUUAUCUUCUAUAAGCAAAAUUCUAAAAAGAAAGUCUGUUCGACUUUUAAAAAAUUACAUGAUUUGAGUUCAAACCGGUAUAAGCCAGGUUGGUUUCAAUCUUCUAAAAAAUUUUCUACAGUACGAAAGGACCUAUUAAUAUUAUUUAAUAUUAAUUUGGCAGAAAAAUGCAUUAGAAUUAGAAUCUAAUUAAAAUAAU